UGACUACAUGAAGCUGGAAUCGCUAGUAAUCGCGAAUCAGAAUGUCGCGGUGAAUACGUUCCCGGGUCUUGUACACACCGCCCGUCACACCAUGGGAGUUGGGAAUGCCCGAAGCCGGUGACCUAACCGAAAGGGAGGAGCCGUCGAAGGCAGGCUUGAUAACUGGGGUGAAGUCGUAACAAGGUAAC
rnacentral:rRNA from 1 species